CCUGAAUAAGCGGCGUGCUCAGUCACUCACCCGUGCGCGCACACCCUCGCGCUCUUGUCCACACAUUAGCACACACAUACAUGUCUUGAUGCACAUGCAAACCCGGUAAAUUACGCAAACAGACGUGUAAACACACCCAUGCGUGUGUGCACACUCAUAUGCAGAGGGCGCUCAGGCAUGUGCGCACCCACUAAUGCACUCGUUGACACGGAAGCUUAAGGCCCACAGGAGCUUAAGUUCGCACUCACUCCCACUCACGCGUACACACGCCACGCUCGGAUCUGAACUCACACGUAGUUCAGUUGCCCUCCCCCACCCCCAACACACACUGAAAACCCGCCUAUUUGGCCCCGCGGCCCCGUUUUCAAAGCGCAGGUUCCGAUUUCCCGAGAGAUGGCAAAGGCCCUGGCAGGAAGUUUACAGGGUUUAACGUAAACAAGUUCUGGGGGAUUCUUUAAUAAUAAUAAUAGAGAAUUCCGCGUGCGCAGGGCGGGAGGGGGGAGUUGGCCUAAUGCCCCUGUGGGCUCGGCCUGCCGCCGCCGCGGGGCCUCUGACACUGCGCGCCAGGCCAGGUUCCUGAGAGCAGACAGCGCGGGCUGGGAGCGCCGGCAAGGGCGGCCCUCGCGCACCUGGCUGCCAGCCCGCAGGGGGCUCGCACGCAGACCUGCCCUUGCCACCUCAGCGCUCGGGUGCGGGCUGGGGGCGGUGGAGCCACGAAAGGUGGUGCCGAGAGCGGAGCGCAGGACAGCGCAGGAGCCCCGGCGCAUCGCGGCGCGCACAGACCCAGGAUUUGUGAAGAGGUGACCCAAAUUUCAAGACAAUGUUGGAUGCAAACGGAUUUGCCAGCAACUGCAUCACUGUCAAAACCAGCUCUGCCCGUGUCUUCCGAAGAUACCAAGUGAAAUACAUGUAGAUGGGAUUUACAUCUGAAAAACCAAGUGAGAAACUGAAGACCAGAGAGGGUGAGUGGUUUACUCAGUUUGGCACAACUGACCCCAACCUAGCCCUCCAUGAGGACUGAGCGCAUGAGAGAUCCUGAGCCACAGCCGCCCAGCCCUGCUCCUCUCGAAUUUCUGACCUACAGGAACUGCAAGAAGUAAUGAAAGACUGCUGUUUAAAGCCACUGCAUUUUGGCAUGAUUUGUUAUGCAGUCGUAGAUAACCAGAAAACAUCGGAUUUACAUUUUAAGAAGGUGGGGCAAGAGGAUGGUGGUGAACAUUUUCCUUCUUUCACACACACAUGCCUUGGCAUUGCGUUUGCCUGCAUGCAGCUAUGGCCUGCAGCCACUGAAGAAUGCUUGCAUAAGGAGCUCUUCUCUGCACAUACCCCGACACAGUGAUGGUAUCUUGCAGCUGCUGCUUCUGUCCAAGGCACUGCAGCCUACUCGUCAAAAGCCCGAAGCCCAGCUCUGCCAGCAGUGCACUGUGUGCUCUUAGGAAACAGAGAAGCAAAGAAGUUAGCAAGCUUGUUUUGGCAGAAGAAAAAACACAAAAUACCCAACCACAGAUCCUCAAAAAUAUUGCUAAGCACUAAUUUUGCUAACAUGUUAGACAGCCUUCGGAUCUAGGCAAUCUUGUUCCUCAGCUGGAAAGAGUUCCUGCCAGCCAUGUGAUUCCAAAUCCACCCUGGACAUAUGGGGAUAAUGAGAAAAUCAGCUCCGGCCUUCCCUGGCCUUCCAGCCAAGUGAAUGGGGGCAUCCCCUGGUGCUUCAGCCCGGGGCCCACCCAGAGGAUGCUAGCUGGCCUGCAGAGGCCUCAACCAUGCCCUCCUGGACUCAGGUAAGACUGAGGUUUCCAUGCCCUCAAAACAAUUGUUCAGACAAAAACUCACUGCCCAGGUCAAAGUCACAGCACCAGAAAGCCAACCUGAGGAUGAAGACAAAGCUCUUUGUUGGCACAGUCCCCUGAUCAUUCGAGGUCAGCAUCUCCAUCAAAAUGGACCCAAUGCUGAGGCAAGAAGGAGAACAUCACUGUUAAGAAGGUAAUGAGUCACAAAUGCUAUUUCGAUGGUUUUCUUUGAAAGAAAUACACAGAACCAAACCAAUUUUAAUUAAAGAUCUUGUCUUUGUAAUCAGGCAGCCACAAAUGAAGGCAAAACUGCUUUCAUGUGGCAUAAUAUACACAGAGCUGAACUAGUUUUCCCAUAAAAGGGCAGGUUCUUUUCUUCAAAUAAGAAAAGAGUUUGUUCCUAACAAUAUGGGGGAUGCAACAGAAAGCUGUCUUUUGCAAAGUAUAAAAUUGCAGAUCCUCCCGUGGAAGCCAUUUCUUGAUGCUAAACCAAUGCGAACGUUUGCCAAACGCACAUGCGAGCCGGGAUUAUCCUACCCUUUGAGAUUAGACAUGUGAUCCUGAUUUUUAAGUGAAAAACGCAGCCAGAGGCCAAAUAAACAUACCUACAAGUACAUCGAAAGCUCAAAUGGUUGAGAAAUGAUUGUAACACACCCCGGUGUGUAUUUCUGAGGAAGAAUCAACAUGCACAUGGAAAUUGAUGUUUUGAUUUUUAAUUUUAAAACGACGACAGAACUGAAAUACCUCCCCUAACUAGGUCCACUGAAACCAGUGAGGAGAUAAUCAUUUUCAGUUAAAUAUGCAUGUAAUUUAAUAAUCCACAGAUGGAAAAUGCAUUUGAGGUGGACUGAACACAGCCAGGAGUUUUUGCUUAUCGACAGCACUGAAUCCUGCCUUGACUAGAGAGACUCGUCAUGUGAUCAACUGUGGCCAGAGGGCAUCCUGCAGACAGCUCCUGUCACACCACACUGACCAGACUCUUAUGAGUAUUUAAGCAUCUUCAGGGAAGCGAUUGACUGUCUUAUAAUGGUCUUACAAGUACGGAACUUUAUUACCUGCUAAUAAUCAGAGCACAUGAUGGCACAAUAGAAUAUACGAGUGAAGUUCUAAAUGCAAGGUUGUUCUUAUUCUGUGAGUGGCAAAACUCAUGCAGUGAGCAGAUAAAGCUGGCAGGAGGCAUUGGCGCCCUAAUGCUGGGCACUAACCACCUGCCCGGACUGCGAAUAUCUGUUGGGUCCUUUCUAUAUCUGGUCUAUUCUCGUGUUUGAUUAUAUCCUGGUGGCAAGAAUAGCAAAAUCAACUCUCCUUCCUAUCCCAUGUGGAGAGGCAUGAUUUGAGUCAGAGAGCAUUAUCCUCUCUGCGUUAUCCAACCCCAUGUCCCAUGAUGCACUUUGUAGACAAGCAAGUGUCCCUGGUGGAGAAUCCACAGCCACACAUCCUCAUUGGUUGCAAGGAUCAGUGUCCAAUAUCUACUGCCAUGAUCAUUCUCAGUUUUACAUCCACAGAGCUUCAUAGAAUUCUAACACCACAGGUCCAAGUAGAGGUUUUGGCCUCAGAGUGGGCUAGAUUCCACCUCUGACAGCAGCUGUGGGACUGUUUUUCCAUCUGUAAAAUGGAGACAAGAGUAUCACCUACCUCAUGGUGUUGGUGGGAUCGUUAAACAGAAUUCCGAUCAUGAAACCCUUAGCCUGCUCCCUGCAUAGGCUGCAUGCGCUCAGUGAGCUAUGGCUCUGUUUCAUGCUGACUUUACCAUCAUGUAAGCAGUUUUAAAAAUGCUAGAAGCUUUAGUCAUAGAAUUACCAUAUGAUACAGCCUACUGCAGAGUCCAGAGGCUGAGGCAGGAGAGUUACUUGAACCUGGGAGGCGGAGGUUGCAGUGAGCCAAGAUCGCGCCACUGCACUCCAGCCUGGGCAACAGAGUGAGAUUCUGUCUCAACACAAAAAAGAAGACAUGUGUCCCCAUCACAGUAUCAUACAGAGUGCUUCCACUGCCCUAAAAUACCCUGUGCUCUUCCUAUUCAUCCCUCUCUUCAACCCCAGCAACCACUGAUCCUUUUACCAUCUCCAUGGUUUUGCCUUUCCCAGAAUGUCAUAUUGUUGGAAUCAUACGCUAUGUAGCCUUUGCAAAUGGGCUUCUUUCACCGAGCAAUGUGCAUUGAAGGUGCCUCUAUGACUUUUCAAGGGUUGAUAGCUCAUUCCUUUUUAUUGCUAAAUAAUAUUCCAUUGUCUGAAUGUACCACAUUUUGUUUAUCCAUUCACCUACUAAAGGACAUCUUGGUUGCUUCCAAGUUUGGGCAAUUAUAAAUAAAACUGCUAUAAACAUUGUGUGCAGGUUUUUUUUUCUAGAUGUCAGUUUUUAACUCAUUUGGACUAUAGAGCACUAUUGCUGGAUCAUAUGAUACGUGUGUGUUUAGUUUUAUGAGAAACUGCCAAACUGUCUUCCAAAGUGGCUGCACCAUUUUGCAUUCCCACCGUCAAUGAAUGAGAGCUCCGGUUGUUCCACAUCCUCACCAGCAUUUGGUGUUGUCAUUGUUUUGGAUUUUAGCCAUUUCAUAGGUGUGUAGAGGUAGCUCAUUGUUUUAAUCUAAUAAACAUCUUAUUGAAGAAUAACACACAAGCAGAAAAUUUCAGAGAUACAAACGAACAGCUUUUUCAACCAUCACCCACUGGAUACAGUUCUGUAUCCAGCACCCAGGCCAAGAAACUGACACUAACGGUGCCCUGUGCCC
rnacentral:lncRNA from 10 species